UACGUAGGUGGCAAGCGUUGUCCGGAUUUAUUGGGCGUAAAGCGAGCGCAGGCGGUUUCUUAAGUCUGAUGUGAAAGCCCUCGGCUCAACCGUGGAAGGUCAUUGGAAACUGGGGAACUUGAGUGCAGAAGAGGAGAGUGGAAUUCCAUGUGUAGCGGUGAAAUGCGUAGAUAUAUGGAGGAACACCAGUGGCGAAGGCGACUCUCUGGUCUGUAACUGAUGCUGAGGCUCGAGAGCGUGGGGAGCAAACAGG
rnacentral:rRNA from 1 species